UACGAAGGGGGCUAGCGUUGCUCGGAAUCACUGGGCGUAAAGCGCACGUAGGCGGCUUUCUAAGUCAGGGGUGAAAUCCUGGAGCUCAACUCCAGAACUGCCUUUGAUACUGGAGAGCUUGAGUCCGGAAGAGGUGAGUGGAACUCCGAGUGUAGAGGUGAAAUUCGUAGAUAUUCGCAAGAACACCAGUGGCGAAGGCGGCUCACUGGCCCGGAACUGACGCUGAGGUGCGAAAGCGUGGGGAGCAAACAGG
rnacentral:rRNA from 1 species